AGAAGUGCGAAUGCUGACAUAAGUAACGAUAAAGCGGGUGAAAAGCCCGCUCGCCGGAAGACCAAGGGUUCCUGUCCAACGUUAAUCGGGGCAGGGUGAGUCGACCCCUAAGGCGAGGCCGAAAGGCGUAGUCGAUGGGAAACGGGUUAAUAUUCCCGUACUUGGUGUUACUGCGAAGGGGGGACGGAGAAGGCUAUGUUGGCCGGGCGACGGUUGUCCCGGUUUAAGCGUGUAGGCUGGUUUUCCAGGCAAAUCCGGAAAAUCAAGGCUGAGGCGUGAUGACGAGGCACUACGGUGCUGAAGCAACAAAUGCCCUGCUUCCAGGAAAAGCCUCUAAGCAUCAGGUAACAUCAAAUCGUACCCCAAACCGACACAGGUGGUCAGGUAGAGAAUACCAAGGCGCUUGAGAGAACUCGGGUGAAGGAACUAGGCAAAAUGGUGCCGUAACUUCGGGAGAAGGCACGCUGACACGUAGGUGAAGUGAUUUACUCAUGGAGCUGAAGUCAGUCGAAGAUACCAGCUGGCUGCAACUGUUUAUUAAAAACACAGCACUGUGCAAACACGAAAGUGGACGUAUACGGUGUGACGCCUGCCCGGUGCCGGAAGGUUAAUUGAUGGGGUCAGCGCAAGCGAAGCUCCUGAUCGAAGCCCCGGUAAACGGCGGCCGUAACUAUAACGGUCCUAAGGUAGCGAAAUUCCUUGUCGGGUAAGUUCCGACCUGCACGAAUGGCGUAAUGAUGGCCAGGCUGUCUCCACCCGAGACUCAGUGAAAUUGAACUCGCUGUGAAGAUGCAGUGUACCCGCGGCAAGACGGAAAGACCCCGUGAACCUUUACUAUAGCUUGACACUGAACAUUGAGCCUUGAUGUGUAGGAUAGGUGGGAGGCUUUGAAGUGUGGACGCCAGUCUGCAUGGAGCCGACCUUGAAAUACCACCCUUUAAUGUUUGAUGUUCUAACGUGGACCCGUUACCCGGGUUGCGGACAGUGUCUGGUGGGUAGUUUGACUGGGGCGGUCUCCUCCUAAAGAGUAACGGAGGAGCACGAAGGUUGGCUAAUCCUGGUCGGACAUCAGGAGGUUAGUGCAAUGGCAUAAGCCAGCUUGACUGCGAGCGUGACGGCGCGAGCAGGUGCGAAAGCAGGUCAUAGUGAUCCGGUGGUUCUGAAUGGAAGGGCCAUCGCUCAACGGAUAAAAGGUACUCCGGGGAUAACAGGCUGAUACCGCCCAAGAGUUCAUAUCGACGGCGGUGUUUGGCACCUCGAUGUCGGCUCAUCACAUCCUGGGGCUGAAGUAGGUCCCAAGGGUAUGGCUGUUCGCCAUUUAAAGUGGUACGCGAGCUGGGUUUAGAACGUCGUGAGACAGUUCGGUCCCUAUCUGCCGUGGGCGCUGGAGAACUGAGGGGGGCUGCUCCUAGUACGAGAGGACCGGAGUGGACGCAUCACUGGUGUUCGGGUUGUCAUGCCAAUGGCACUGCCCGGUAGCUAAAUGCGGAAGAGAUAAGUGCUGAAAGCAUCUAAGCACGAAACUUGCCCCGAG
rnacentral:rRNA from 1 species